GUUUUGGGCGUAUUGGUUGUGGAGCAUAUGAAAACUCCAUAGUUAAGUGUCUUUAAGUGGGAGUAGUACUAAGAUGGGUGACCUCAUGGGAAGUCUCCACAGAAGCAACC
rnacentral:rRNA from 1 species